CGACAUCGAAACAUUGUGAAGUUUUAUGGAUUUUGCUCACAUGCCCGACACUCUUUUUUGGUCUAUGAAUUUCUUGAAAGGGGUAGCUUGGCUGCGAUCUUGAGCAGUGAUGAAGCAGCACCAGAACUGGGUUGGAGUCAGAGAAUGAAUGUGAUCAAAGGCAUAGCUGAUGCCUUGUCUUUCUUGCACCAUGACUGCUUUCCUCCAAUUGUCCAUCGAGACAUAUCAAGUAAGAACUUGUUGCUGGAUUUGGAAUAUGAAGCUCAUGUUGCAGACUUUGGAAUUGCUAAGUUCCUGAGGCCAGACUCGUCCAACUGGACUGAAUUUGCAGGCACAUAUGGAUACGUUGCACCAGGUAUUUAGUAUUUAUUUGUUACCAUUUUGAGGAAUAUUUUUGUGUUAUGUGUGCGGUAGCAGAACAAUGCAACUAGAUAUUUAUCUCAGAAAUAGAGUAAACAUUUUGUUUUUUUUUUGGUCCUUGACCUUGCAGAGCUUGCCUAUACAAUGAAGAUCACAGAGAAAUGCGAUGUGUACAGUUUUGGAGUGUUAGUGUUGGAAGUGAUCAAAGGGAAGCAUCCAAGAGAUUUUCUUUCUUCGACUUCAUCUCCAUCUCUCAACACGGAUAUAGCACUUGAUGAAAUGUUGGACCCGCGUCUUCCAGUUCCAUCAUGCAGUGUUCAAGAAAAACUGAUAUCAAUCAUGGAGGUUGCUUUUUCAUGCUUAAAUGAGAGUCCGGAGUCUAGACCAACCAUGAAGAUAGUCAAUCAACAAUUACGGAUUUAACCUCAGCUGCCUUGAUUGAGUCUUAAUUUUCUCAUUAUGCUUGUAAUUUGCUUGGUUUAUUUUUCUCAUCUAUUGUAGUUUGUUUGUUCUAGUUUUCAAGAACCGGGAGGCUUUGGUUAUUACGUCAUCCAUAUAUGCUUGGUAUAUGGUGUACUCAACUCUUUCAUUUAUAAAUAAAGUUUGUUCAAUCCUUAGAGGUUUAGUUAAAAUAACGGAUGGGGCAGUGGUGAGCACAUUUGAGGACAUGUGGAGUCUGUACAAUGAAGACCAAGAUUAGUAAGAUAGUUUGUAAUAAUUAAAAAAAUAAUUUCUUGCGAUAUGUACAAACAUGUGAACCCCUCAAAUGUAAACUUGAAAGUGUGUACCACUGUACUAAUUAGUGGGUGGCUCUUACUUAUUGAUAAUGUUAAAUUAAAUGUUAAAAGAAAUCUCGGUUGAAUGACUUAAUUUACAUUUGUCAUGUCAGAGUUAGCUGAUGUCCUAUAUUUGAUCAAUGUGGAUGGCUGAUCAAAAUUAAAUAAUCCUUGAACGAGAUUGAGGCCUUGACAGAGAUACAACAUCAGGGCAUUGUAAAACAUGACUGACAUUCAAUUUUUGUAACGUAUGUGAAUUAAAUGAAUAAAUAAAAAGCAAAAGAGAAAAGAGCUGGAAAACAGAGGGAAGAUACACGUGUGACAGAGGGUGAGAGAGAUGCUACCAAACCGACCCAACUAUAGACCCAAAAGGCCGACCCGAACCGCAAACGUGACCUGGCCGUAUCUUCCGAUUCCGGCCACCCCACCGGUCAAUCUUGGUACCAAUCUGAAGCUUAGAAGCCGUCCGUCGCUACCAUACCAUCCUCUCCGCCGAAAACUAACCGGAACGCCGACGACCAAAGCUUGAAAACCCGCAACUGUUUCGCUUUGUUCCGCCGACAUUUUCGCCAGUUUUGGGUGACACCACUGGUUGGAUUUUGUUCCCCACGACUCCCUCUUCCAUUUCCGACCAUCCACUGCCGCCGAGGACAUCGUUUUGCCGUUGAUCGGCCGUUGGAGGACUUACGGGUUUGGGAGCUCAAUCCGGAGCUAUCCCCGCGCGUGGAAGGUCACCACCGCCACCGUUGGACUCAGUGUGGCCAGAUAUUUUAGACUUGAGCUUCCCGGCCAGCGUUGAUCAAAUUCCGGUGAAUGUUGACCGGCAGGGGCAUUUUGGUAAUUUCAUCAACAUAGGAGUUGUAAAUUAUAGAUAGAUGUUCGUUUCAAAUUUAUUGCAUAAAUUUAGUCCUAAUUCUUACUUAUGGAAAAUAAUUAUGUCAUUUCCUUGAUUUAAGAGGAUCCGCGAGCGAGAAUCGGUCCACGGACGUAAACGAUAACCAAGUGUGAACACCGUCACUGUGAGUGGAAUAUUACAAAACUUAUUUUCAUAGUUAAUUAUGAUAGUAAUGCAUGUUUGCGAAAUAAGUGUUUUAAAUGUUCUGAUUUAAUGAUUUUCUCGAAAUUGAUUUUGUUCACGCAUUGGUAUUUUAUUAAAAUGCUUUAUUAAUGAUUUUGCGUAUCGACUUUGAAUAAGCAUGAUAAUAUUUUAAAGAUAAGAAAAGUGGAUUAAAAUGUGAUAUGAUUUAAAGUAUGGUAAAAAGGUAUGUGAAUAUGAGUAUAAUGAUUGUUUUUUAAAUCAUUAGACAGUACCCUUCCCCUCCAAAUACAAUGAUACAUAUGAGAUGAGAUAGAGGUCUUUGGGGCCUGUCUGAACACACAUAGAGGCUUUGUGCCGUGUGCUUGGGCCCUUUUGUCAUUUGGGGACUAGAUUAUGCAUACACAUAUAUGAUGAGGUGGAUGGCUGAUCAAAAUUAAAUAAUCCUUGAACGAGAUUGAGGCCUUGACAGAGAUACAACAUCAGGGCAUUGUAAAACAUGACUGACAUUCAAUUUUUGUAACGUAUGUGAAUUAAAUGAAUAAAUAAAAAGCAAAAGAGAAAAGAGCUGGAAAACAGAGGGAAGAUACACGUGUGACAGAGGGUGAGAGAGAUGCUACCAAACCGACCCAACUAUAGACCCAAAAGGCCGACCCGAACCGCAAACGUGACCUGGCCGUAUCUUCCGAUUCCGGCCACCCCACCGGUCAAUCUUGGUACCAAUCUGAAGCUUAGAAGCCGUCCGUCGCUACCAUACCAUCCUCUCCGCCGAAAACUAACCGGAACGCCGACGACCAAAGCUUGAAAACCCGCAACUGUUUCGCUUUGUUCCGCCGACAUUUUCGCCAGUUUUGGGUGACACCACUGGUUGGAUUUUGUUCCCCACGACUCCCUCUUCCAUUUCCGACCAUCCACUGCCGCCGAGGACAUCGUUUUGCCGUUGAUCGGCCGUUGGAGGACUUACGGGUUUGGGAGCUCAAUCCGGAGCUAUCCCCGCGCGUGGAAGGUCACCACCGCCACCGUUGGACUCAGUGUGGCCAGAUAUUUUAGACUUGAGCUUCCCGGCCAGCGUUGAUCAAAUUCCGGUGAAUGUUGACCGGCAGGGGCAUUUUGGUAAUUUCAUCAACAUAGGAGUUGUAAAUUAUAGAUAGAUGUUCGUUUCAAAUUUAUUGCAUAAAUUUAGUCCUAAUUCUUACUUAUGGAAAAUAAUUAUGUCAUUUCCUUGAUUUAAGAGGAUCCGCGAGCGAGAAUCGGUCCACGGACGUAAACGAUAACCAAGUGUGAACACCGUCACUGUGAGUGGAAUAUUACAAAACUUAUUUUCAUAGUUAAUUAUGAUAGUAAUGCAUGUUUGCGAAAUAAGUGUUUUAAAUGUUCUGAUUUAAUGAUUUUCUCGAAAUUGAUUUUGUUCACGCAUUGGUAUUUUAUUAAAAUGCUUUAUUAAUGAUUUUGCGUAUCGACUUUGAAUAAGCAUGAUAAUAUUUUAAAGAUAAGAAAAGUGGAUUAAAAUGUGAUAUGAUUUAAAGUAUGGUAAAAAGGUAUGUGAAUAUGAGUAUAAUGAUUGUUUUUUAAAUCAUUAGACAGUACCCUUCCCCUCCAAAUACAAUGAUACAUAUGAGAUGAGAUAGAGGUCUUUGGGGCCUGUCUGAACACACAUAGAGGCUUUGUGCCGUGUGCUUGGGCCCUUUUGUCAUUUGGGGACUAGAUUAUGCAUACACAUAUAUGAUGAGAUAUGAGAUGGUAUUUCUCUGUCUAUCCGUGUAGCUCCGGGGCGUGACGGUACCCAGACAGUACGUCAUUGCCCGUCCGUUGAGGUCUGAAUAUGACGAGAUUAUUUCCCUGGGUACUUGUUUGGUGAUGAUUUUCAGAUUUGUGUAUUUUAUAUGAUAUUGUGAUAUGAUUUCCAUGGUUAGUAAUCUGAUUUAAAGGUUAAAUGAUUUAUUACUGGUUUCUCGUAUAUGGUUUGAUGAAAUCGUGUUUGGAAAUGACAUGAUUAUUUCUUUUAAAGUAAGAAUUAAAUUUUCAAAAACUACUAUCCACUCACUGAGUUUUAAACUCACCCUGUUUUUAUUAUAUUUUCCUCCCCUCACCAUGAGGUUGCAGGUACAUCAGACCGACCCAGCGACUGUAAAUAUAUUUUGAGUCUUGGCCACGUGAUGGUGUUAGAAGAUAUAGAUGUUUUUGGUAGGACAUCUUGGUUAUCUCAUCCUGUUGGGAUUGUAUAAUUUUGUUAUAUUAUUCUUUUGGGAUUAAGAAUAAACUGAAAUAUUAAUAUUAGUUAUAAUAUUAUCUUUUGAGACUCUGAAAAUAUAAAACUCAGCAUUUUGGUUGAGGAUGUUGAUCGUUGGAGUUUGUUGUAUAUUGAAUUAUAUUGGAAGUGUUAUAUUCAUAUUUGUAGAUUGGGAGUGUUAUAUUUAUAAAGGAGACUCUGCCGAAUUUUCGACAGAAUCUUUACUAAUAGAAUUAUAAUCAAUUCUGUUUUGAUGAGACUAGUUAACUCGCCCGGGAGGAAUUUGGGGCUGGUCGUUUCAAUUUUAGUUUAUGAAUUUCUUGAAAGGGGUUGGAGUCAGAGAAUAAAUGGGAUAAAAGGCGUUGCCGAUGCCUUGUAAAAUUCGUUUGUUGCCAUUUGAGGAAUAUUAUCAUGCAACACAUUCUAUAGAGUUAUAAAAGCUUACUAAUUUAUACGCAUUGAUCUUUCAAAAGAGAGUAAACAUUUCUUAUUUUCUCUUUUUUAUUUGUCCUUGACCUUUCAGAGCUUGCUUACACAAUCAAGAUCACAGAAAAAUGACGUGUACGGUUUCAGAGUGUUAGUAUUGGAAGUGAUCAAGGGAAAGCAUCCAAGAGAUCGGAUGUUCUUUCCGCAGUUUCAGCUUCGUCCUCCAAUGCCAUUUGAUGAAAUAUUGGAUCCUCGGCUUCCACCUGAUCCAUUAUUCGAUGUUCGGAGGAAGUUAGUAUCAAUCACGAAGGUUGCCUUCUCUUACUUAAAUGGGAAUCUAGAAUCCAGACUAAUUAUUAUUGUUCGAGUUUCAAAUAUUUGCCUUCAUUUCCCAUUGUUUGUUACUAUCAAUAAACACGUGUGCUAUACGUGGCAACUCAACUUGCUACGUGGCCUUGAAUUAGUCUUUGUUGAAUAAGUCUUGUUUGUUAGUUUUGGUUAUUAAGUCUAGAUUCCAUUUGAAUGAGUCUUCUUAUUUACAAGAAACUGAAUUUGUAAUAUUUCUAUUUAUUUGAAAUUCAGUGAAUAAUAGAAGGGGUUUUUACCAACUUCACUUGAAGUCUUACAAAGGAGGAUUUUGGGUUUCCCUCGAAGUACCCAAGUGUUAUAACUUUAUUAAUUCUCUGUUGAAGAAAAACUCUGAAACGCCAAAAUAGGUAGAACUAAGGACGCCAUACCAUUCUUGCACGAGUUAAUUAUACGUAUCAUGCUUAUGCAGGCCUUAAGUUGGAAUAAAAGAAUGUUUGUUGACAGAAUUUUGCAACUAGAGGAUGAUGUACUUCAUAAUUAGUCUGCCUUCAACACAAAAUAGAAAAUUUAGUUGACAAAUGGCCACAAAAUACUAGCUUCGUUUUCGCUAAAAAAGAAAUAAAAUCUGCUUCUAUGGCCUCUGUAAACUAACUGCUUCAAUGCCCCCAAUUUCAAAACUAUCAUUGAUAUAGAGCCAUUGAACCUGGGCUCCAUAUUCAACUUUUCAUAGUUCCAUUUCAAGCGCGAAGCUUUUGAGAGCGUGGACACACUUGACACUAGAUAACCCUCAGCCAUAAUUUUGCUGCAAAAGCCGAUAUAAUUAAUGGACCUUAUUUGCACAAUUUUGGAAAAAAUAUUUGGACCAAUUUCGGUGUUCAGCUGAGCUUGUGUUGACUAUUAAGCACUAAAUCAAUAGUCAAGAAUUUAUCCAACACGAGUUUCACAUGGAUUCCAAUGAACUCUUGACCAUAGAUUCUGUACCCAACACAAUAUGCUUAUGGUUUAAAAAUAAAAAAAAUCAUGUUAAUACUUUGUAUUAAUACUUAAUGCAUGGACAAUCGUUUUCUUUGUGCACAGACUUGUCGAUAAAAAAAAGCUUAAUGGUCCAUCUAUUAGUUAUUAGUUUACAUCUACUUAGGCUCCGUUUGGUACAACUUAUUACAUAGAGCUUAUAACAGUAGAACUUAUAGCAGUAAAGCUUAUACCAAUAGAGCUUUUGGACAAAAAGUCAUUGGGUGUUUGGUUGUCAAUAAAAAAAGUACUUUUGAACCAUUAAACUGUGUGAUAUUUUUUUAUUAUAUAUUUUUAGAAAAGCUCUCUAACCUCUACUCCCAAAAGCUCAAAUUUUGGGCUUUUGCUAGUAGAGAUAAAUUAGCUUAUUUAAGCUAAAAAAACUCUACUAAAAAAAUAACUAAACACCAUAAAAAUUUUAAAAAAGUGCUUAUACGAUUAAAAAAGCACUUAUGGCUCUUAAAUAAGACAUACCAAACAGGCACUUAAUCUGAUUAGGAUGAAACGAAAUUAAUUGUUUCUUUGUUUUAAAAAAUAAAUAACUAAAACUUCUUGAAUAUUCGAGAAUUAACAAAAUGAUUGUGAAUGAAGUUUUGUUUGGUAUUAAGGUAUUGUUAUCUUUAAAUCACGAUUAUUGUGAAUAAUAAAACUACAACAAAAAGUAAAAGUUGAUAAUAUAUAAUAAAUAUAACUUUUAAAUGAUAGUUUUGAUAAAAAAAAAAUAUUAUAAGUUUUCUAUCAUUAAAAUCAAAUCAUUUUAGCUUGCAAGUCAUAAUAAUGAUAGCUAUGAACUCUUUCAUAAAUUUAUUUUGUAUAAAGUGACAUGGAAUAAAUUCAUUGGUUAAGUAAAAAUAUGAAGCAAUAAAAAUAAUUUAUGUGAGAUAAAAAUAUUUUAUUUAAUUAGUUUGUAUAAAAUAAAUUUAUAUAAAAGAUUUGUAAUUAGUUGCAAGUGACAAUGAUGAUAGCUAUAAACUCUUGUAUAAAUUUAUUUUGUAUAAAAUGAUGUGAUAUAAAUUUAUUAAUUAAGUAAAAAUAUAAAAUAAUAAAAAUAAAUUAUGUGAGAUAAAAAAAUAUUUAAUCUAAUUAAUUUAAUCAUGUUACGUUUGUAUAAAAUAAAUUUAUAUAAAAGAUUUGUAAUUAGAUUACUGCUCUUGUAAACCAGCACCGAUAUGUACAUUAUGCUAUUUUCCGUCCAAUACGAUUACUAUUAAAAAAAGAAAAACAUGGACCCCAUCGACGAGACCUCACGUGGGCCCACAAAUCUUGAUGAUCACAUCUUUUUCAUGUGAAAAAAACACCCCCUUACAACGACACCGUCUUUUCUUUGGCUUUCCUUUAGUUGAUCACUCAUCUGAGAAAGUUAAUUCACCGUCCCCAAUUUCCCAAUGAAUAAAAUAAAUAUAAAGGACUCGUGCGUCCCUUCCCUUUCCUUCCUGUUUUUGUCACCCGCCUCUUCCUCAUCUCGCCACUUGUUCCCCCCACUACGCCCACAAAACGUCACCGUUUCAUUCUCACUCCUUCCUCACACCCCUCCUUUUCCCCACAUUCCUUCGUUUCAUAUCAACUCAAAAAUUCAUUCUUUUAACAUUAAUAAUAAUAAUUUUAUUGAGAUAAGUCAAUCAAAAAGGUAACUCCAACUAUCUCGUCCAGCUUUUUGCUGCUUCUUAAUUUUGAUCGACUAUGACGAUGUACCAAAGCUUCAAUUUUUUUCGGUUUUUUCAGUUAACGCUUUUGCUUCAAGAUUUCGUUUUACUUUCCUUGAAAAUUGAUACGAUUAAAAUUCUUUUUUUAGCUGAAGAUUGAUACAAUUUUCACUUCAUUUUUUUCUUAACUUUGUAUCCGGAUUUGCUGCUUUUGUUUGAAGUUUUUAUUUUUUUGUAUUUUUCUGUGGAGCUAAGCAUGACUUUGGUUACAGCUAUAUAUUAUUUUAACAUAUAAUUAGACUAAUUUAUUUAUUUGUUGAUUUGUUAUUUUUUAAAUAUGGUUUGAGACUUCUGAUGUUUCAAUAUUUAUUGCACACGUGUAAUGCAGUGGCUUUAAUAAAUGUGGUAUUGUAAAGUUUAAAGCUUUUUGCAUGUGAAUGAGUUGGUGUGAACACUUUCAUUGAUGUUUAGAUUCAUGUAUGUGGUGAUCUCACACGUUAGAUUUUAAUUUUAUGGCAUGGCUCAUUUGACCAAAUUUUGUUGUUACUUGAACUGAUGAACGCGAAUUUCGAAGUGAAUACGUGUGUUUGAUUGAUUGGAUUUUGUAAGAUUCCUUUGUAGAAGUAAUUUAAUCCCUCGAAUAGUAUUAUUCAACAAAUAGCUUUGGGAAUGGUAUUGAUUCUAUUCUUGUUUGUUUCACAUAAGAACUUUGAUGCAACCUUCAGAUUCCUUCUGAACCAUGUAGUUAUCUAUUUGGAUUAGUUUAUAGCAUAUCAACUAUUGAUUGUUGCAUUUAGAUGUUUUUUGUUACUUCCAUUCUUGAUUUCUUAUCAUAUGUUAGUUAAAUAGCAAACAUUAUACAUGUUCUUAAUUGAUUAGUGCUCUUUCAAUCAAUGCUCUUUCAAGCACUUGGUCUUUGGCCAAGUGGCUAGAGUUAUUCUCUCACAAGUGUGAGGGUAGUGGUUAGAACCCCCACAAAAAUAUUGUGGGGGUUUAAUUUCUUUCCUCACAUUUGAGUGAAGGUAGUCUUCUCCCUUUCGAAAUGUGAGUGAAGUUGACGUCUCUCGAAUAUUAAAGAGGGUAAAAUCUGGACAGUAUUAUAUAAGAUUUAAUGUAAAUUAAUCUCAAUAAUUACCUGAUUGUAUAUAUUUGUCAAGUUCCCCCCUCUUCUGUACCCUAUAACUAUAGUAUACCCAAGCCACCCCCUCUCCCUAUUAAACCCUGUACAAAAAACAAAUAUCCCAAUAGAUUUUUACAUUGUAGUUUUGUUUAUCUUUAAUGUUUUCACCAAGUUUUCACUAGAAUCCAAUUCGAAUUAAUUGAGUGGUUAUGGUUGAAUCCAACUUAAAUCUAGGUUUAAAUGUGUUAAAUUUAGGUUAAAAUGUGUUUUUUGAGAGAAGCUUAUGCUAAAUUUAGGUUUAAAUGUAUUUUCUAAUGUUCGGGGCAAGUGACUUAGAUAAGAUAAUUAGAUGGGGAGUUAAAGUGAUAUAUAUAGUGAACUGAGGUGGUCAUUUGGAGAAUAAUAGAGAGAGCUUAGUGGAGUUCUGUAGGAGUUAAUUUAGAGAGUUGAUAUGAGGGCUAAUUUGUGCUCAAGAGUAGCUCAAGUGUGCUUGGUGGAUAAUUCAAAUGGUCUCACAAACUACUUAGUGUAACUGAAGUAGCUUAGAUAAGCUCAUAUGUAAAAUAUAAUCCCGAUCUUAAAUUGAGAAUAUAGUAAAAUAAGCUUAAAUAUAAAGAACGCACAAUGUUUACGUGAUUUGGUCUUUGACCUAUGUCCAUAAGAGCAAGUAAUUACUAAUCCACUGUAUAAAUGAGAGAUUACAUGAAAUUUUAAGAUGAAUAACACAAGCUAUAUAGCGAGAUAUCUAUAUAAAGAUGUUUGGUGUUAAUAAAUAUGAAGAUGGUGAAUAAAGACACGAAGAGCGAUAAUAUGGCAGAAAAGAUGAUGGGGGUGGAGAAUAGAAAAUGGACUCUUAAAAAUGAAGAAGUUUGUGGUGAUCUAGAAGAUAAAGAUAGAGAGAGGAGAGCCCACAAAUAUGGGUGAAUAGGACUUAGUGGAGGCUAAUGUCUCGAUCAUAAAAUUUAGGGAUAGAUGUCAUGCUUAAGUCAAAAGAAGAGGAAUUUUUUAAGGCUAUAUGUCACAUCUUAGGAAAAAUGAGUAAGAAUAUUCUUUUUGUACUAGGUUCAUUUUUAUUAUAAAUAUUUUGGAAUGUCCAACAUUGACUAUCGAUUUCCAAAACCAUCCAAUGUAGGAAAUUCUUCUAAAUGGCUUCUUUAAUUGCUCCAAAUAUCAUGCCUAUUUUGACCUUACAAUUGUCCACGUGUCAUCCAUUUAUUGCUCUCAAAAUAUACUUCUAAAUUUACCCCCAAACAAGUGUUGGGAUUAUGUGCUAUUUUAAACAUAUUAAUUUAUUUUCGGAUUAAUAAAAUAUUUGAGAUAUUUUCAAUUGUAUAAAUAUAUUGAAAAAGGUUUGUUUAAUCAUAUUAUAUAUAUUUAUGUGAUCAUCAUAGACAUAAAUACAAGUUAUCUUAUGAUUAAAUAAAUUAAGUUCGCAUUUGAUAAAUAAAGUUGGGCGCUUUAUUUAUGUUUAGACUGUAAUAAAUUCAUUGAAUGAUUUAUAUUAAUCAUGUAUGAAUUUACUGAUGUAGUUUGACUACAUUGAAUUGGAUCACAUAUGAGAUUUAAUUAACCUUGAAAUGACUAUCAGACUCAUUAAAUCUCAUAGGCAUUGAUUUUAUUGUAAUCUUAAUCUUGAGUUAAUUAUGAUUUCAUGAUUGUAAUUGUUAUUCCAUUUGAGUUAUCAAUAGGCACGACACACACUUGUGGUCAAGAUUACCCGGUAUCUUGGUGGGAGUAAUUAUGAGUAUUGGAGUUAUAGAUUAACAAUAUAGAAUUUGUACGACACAUCUCUUGAUGGGUUUUCAGCACUUUAUCAUUAUUUAAUUGACUGCAACGCUACUGGAUUAAUAAACAAGAUAACUAGUUGAUUGGGUCAAAAGCCUAAAUAUAUCAUUUAGUGGGAGGCUCCAUUUGAUAUGCUUAUGUGUAAGUGGCCUUAUGUUAUUUUACAAAGUGGGCUCCCUAUAGGAAAAGCAAGUAACGUGACUUUUGUUUUUUAUUAUUUGGAGCCUAGGGUUUACACUAAAUGAAGAUAUAAAAAAACUUAUUUUCUCUAAAGAAAAAAAUAUAGAGCCACAUUAUACAAUUCAGAGAAAAAAAAUUCUCUCUAGUUUUGAGAGAAAAUUUUUUCUCCUUGCUAGUUUCUUUUUAGUGGUGAUAAAGGCACCCACACGUCAAGUGCAUAUCAAACCUGAGUCAUAACCUGAAAGAUUGUUUAGUGACGGAUCGUGAUCUAACCAGCGCGUGAAAUGCAAGUUAUGCAACCCAAGAGGGGGGGGGGGGGGAAUUGAGAUUUUAAAAUUUAUGCAAUACAAUUCGCACAACAAUUUAAUCUAUUGCCUUAAUCAAAUAAAAAACAAUAAAUUCAAUCAAGCACAAUAUGAAAAGAGUAAGGGAAGAGAAAACAAACACAAGGAUUUUUACAUGGUUCGGCUAUUCCCGCCUACGUCCACACCUCCAAGCUCACCCGGCUUGAAGAUUUCACUAUCCAAGCCUCCCAAUGCUUCAAAUAUUUACAAUUGACUUCUCAGGUGUCAAUGGACCUUUACAACAAGAGAUUAUAUCCCCAAUCUCUUCACCAAAGUGUUUCUCACACUUGUACACUCACAAUUUGAUGAGAAAUUAAAAUUACAACAAUGAAACUCUCUUUAAGAGUGAAUAUGCAAGUAAUAGCUCAACAAUGAUUCAAUCUAUGAUUAUUUGCGUUUUGAAAGCUCAAUAUAUGUUAUAUGAUCUUAUCUUUGCUUGCAUUAGUUCAUAGAAUGAAGUUUGAGUUGAGUUUUUAUAGUUAAAGCGCUCAAGGUAGCCGUUAUAGGUAAAUUCCAGCGCCCAAGCGGUUAGCCGCUUGAUUUAUCCGGCUAGCCGCUCAGGAACAGUGAUAUUACCGUUAUUUUUGAAUUUUGCUAUAGUAAUACUAUUCACUAAAAUUACACUUUGGUCUAAAACUUUAUAUAAUUAUAAUAUGGUCCAAAAUGUCAUAAAACUGUGCAAAUAAGUCCAAUUUCAGAAUUUCCUAAAAAUAAUUAUCUUUCCAAAACUUUCUGAAAUUAUGAUAUGACCCAAAAGAUAUUAUUAUUUUUCAAAGAGGUCCUUUUCAAAUUUAGCAUAAUACCUAUUUUUUCAAAGUUCUCAAAAUCUUUCACUUUAAUCCAAAAAUUGAAAAUAUAAGAUUUUCCUCGGGCAGCUAGCCGCUAGCCUCAGGCGGUUAGCCGCUUCCUCUCUGUCCAAUUUUGAUUUCAAGUGUUUAGAUUACAUUCAGGUCCUCAAACUUUCAUAAAUUAUAUUAUGCCCCAAAAUAUUCAAACCUUUGCAAAUAAGUCCAAAUAUGAAUUUCAAAAUAAUAUUUAUUAAACUCAAAGAUUAAAAAACUUUUUUAUUUUAAUCCAAAUUACUCAAAUCCACAAAACACCUUAUCUUAUAAAUAUAAAACCUUUUAGUUUAUAAAAAGUAAUUAUUAAAUUAAUCUUUUGAGCUUCUCAAAUGCUAAAUCAUGCAUUAAUUAAAUUAUACCUGCUUUACAAGAAUUUGUCGCAAUAAUUUGUCCGUUGAGCUCUAAACUUUAUUCUUGAUUUCUCUAUUGUCCGUUGAGUGUCUUCAAUCUUGAUUUCACUUGAUUCACUUGCAUAAGUAUUAUCCUUAAAAAACUAGUGAAAAUGUGAAAUACAAUAUUUAUUAUUUUUACUUAAGACACAUGUUUGUUAUCAUCAAAAUUACAUUAUGUGUAGCCCUUUAGGCUAACAGCGCGAUGGUGACGGAUCGUGAUCUAACAAUCGUGGUGGUGACGGAUCGUGAUCUGAGAGCCUAGAAUAAUUUCCAUUGUUCAUCUUCUUGGAUUAUUAAAGUACAAUUUUUAGAUUACAAAUUCUCAUAUGUUGUAUGAGAUCGGUCCUAAUUUUUUUUUAAAAGAAAAACUGAUUUUUCUCCGGUAACAAGAUCUCUAGUUUUUUAUGCUGUGUUGAAGAAUUAAAAGACAAGAAACUCUAAUGAAAAAUUUGGUCUUGUUGACACAUGGUUGCUUCCAGUUGUUAGUUUAUAUGUCUUGUAAUCCUUUGGAGCGGAUGAGGUAAUAGAGGGAGCUCAGCCCUCCUAGUAAAACAAAUUUUUUUUAUAAAUAUCUUUAAUGGUGACUUAUUAUAUGAGUUUCCUUAGAUUGAUGUAAAUACCUAUUUUUUCAAAGUUCUCAAAAUCUUUCACUUUAAUCCAAAAAUUGAAAAUAUAAGAUUUUCCUCGGGCAGCUAGCCGCUAGCCUCAGGCGGUUAGCCGCUUCCUCUCUGUCCAAUUUUGAUUUCAAGUGUUUAGAUUACAUUCAGGUCCUCAAACUUUCAUAAAUUAUAUUAUGCCCCAAAAUAUUCAAACCUUUGCAAAUAAGUCCAAAUAUGAAUUUCAAAAUAAUAUUUAUUAAACUCAAAGAUUAAAAAACUUUUUUAUUUUAAUCCAAAUUACUCAAAUCCACAAAACACCUUAUCUUAUAAAUAUAAAACCUUUUAGUUUAUAAAAAGUAAUUAUUAAAUUAAUCUUUUGAGCUUCUCAAAUGCUAAAUCAUGCAUUAAUUAAAUUAUACCUGCUUUACAAGAAUUUGUCGCAAUAAUUUGUCCGUUGAGCUCUAAACUUUAUUCUUGAUUUCUCUAUUGUCCGUUGAGUGUCUUCAAUCUUGAUUUCACUUGAUUCACUUGCAUAAGUAUUAUCCUUAAAAAACUAGUGAAAAUGUGAAAUACAAUAUUUAUUAUUUUUACUUAAGACACAUGUUUGUUAUCAUCAAAAUUACAUUAUGUGUAGCCCUUUAGGCUAACAGCGCGAUGGUGACGGAUCGUGAUCUAACAAUCGUGGUGGUGACGGAUCGUGAUCUGAGAGCCUAGAAUAAUUUCCAUUGUUCAUCUUCUUGGAUUAUUAAAGUACAAUUUUUAGAUUACAAAUUCUCAUAUGUUGUAUGAGAUCGGUCCUAAUUUUUUUUUAAAAGAAAAACUGAUUUUUCUCCGGUAACAAGAUCUCUAGUUUUUUAUGCUGUGUUGAAGAAUUAAAAGACAAGAAACUCUAAUGAAAAAUUUGGUCUUGUUGACACAUGGUUGCUUCCAGUUGUUAGUUUAUAUGUCUUGUAAUCCUUUGGAGCGGAUGAGGUAAUAGAGGGAGCUCAGCCCUCCUAGUAAAACAAAUUUUUUUUAUAAAUAUCUUUAAUGGUGACUUAUUAUAUGAGUUUCCUUAGAUUGAUGUAAAUUUAGAACGAGUUUAGGGUUUUUUUAAAUCAUAUACUUGGGAGGCUCCAUAAGAACUUUGAAAGUUAAAUUAUCUAAUGAAGAUCAUUUUUUAGAGGGAAAGAAAUCAACUUCCAAGACAUCUACCUCCGCAAAUUAGCUUACUUAUUGGUUGAACUUAUGUACCUCUGCAUAUGGAUUUAACGUCAAUUCAAUCCCAGGAAGCUUCAAUGCUCUUCGGAACUCCCCAAAGCUUCACAAUGCUCUUCCGUCACUCACAAUGCUCUUUGGAACUCCCCAAAGCUUUACAACAUGCUUGAUGAAGAGGCGGGCUGCUUCAUCAACUUUAACAUCGACCGGUGAGGCAAUGAAAAUGGCGUACUUACUGUAGCGGUCGACAACGACCAUAAUGCUACCGUAACCUUUAAAUUUAGGCAGUGUUGUGAUGAAGUCCAUAGAGACACUCUCCAAUGGCCUAGUCACAAGCGGUAGAGGCUCCAAUAAUCUCGCUGGGAGUUGGUGAUCUACUUUGUAUUGUUGGAACACAAGACAAGUCCGCAUGUAUGCCUCGAUGUCGUCUCUCAUGUGUGGCCAAAAGUACGAGGCUUGAACUAGUGCGGUGGUGCACUCGAUCCCUGUAUGUCCAACCUACUUGGAGUUGUGGCACUCCUUGAUGACUUCCUUCCGCAAAUUUCUCAACCUUGGCACGAAAAAUCGAUCUCCUUUGGUGAGAAGGAUGCCUUCCUCUUGCCAAAAUCGCCUUGUCUUGCCUUUAAGCACCUUCUUCAACAAGUCUUUCGCUAGAGGAUCUUAUUGGAGGCCUUCUUUGAUGCGUAAAACAAGGUCAGACUUUGGUUGGCUCAUGCUAAGUGUUGUCAAUUCCGCCAUACGACUUAGAAUGUCUGCAACAAUAUUGGCUUUACCCGGCUUGUACUCGAUCCGAUAGUCGAACUCCAUAAGAAAAUCUUGCUACCAAGCUUGCUUGGGGCUCAACUUCUUUUGAGUUUGAAAGUAGCUUGUCGCCACGUUGUCCGUCAUGAUCGUGAAGUAAGAGUUAAUUUUGAGUUUGAAAGUAGCUGGGGCUCAACUUCUUUUGAGUUUGAAAGUAGCUUGUCGCCACGUUGUCCGUCAUGAUCGUGAAGUAAGAGUUAAGCAAGUAAUGUCACUACACUUUCAAACAAUGGAUGAUGGUUGUCAUCUCCUUUUCUUGCACAGUGUAGCAGCGUUCCGUAUCAUUUAGCUUUCAGCUUUCGAACAUUGCGGGGUGGCCUUCUUCCAUGAGGACUCAACCGAUGACAAAAUCCGAGACAUCCAUUUGGACUUCGAAGGACUUAGUGUGGUCCAGAAGAGCGAGGACGAGUUCUUCGGAGAUUGCAUUAUUUAAGUCUUCGAAUGCACAUUGGUACUCUUCGGACGAAUGCCAUGUCCGAUUUUUCUUGAGCAAGUCAGUCAAGGGUGCCACUUUGACUGAAUAAUCCUUAAUGAAGUGGCGAUAAUAAUUCACCAAUAUGAGGAAUGAGUGAAGCUCGAGCAUUUUCGAGGGAGGCUCCCAUUCGAGAAUGGCCUUCACCUUUGAGUUUUUCAUCAUUAGUUUCUCGCCCGCAAUCUUGUGGCUGAGGAACUCCACCUCUUAUUGAACAAAUGAGCACUUUUCCAUUUUGAAGAAGAGUUCGUUUUCUCGAAGCACUUAGAGGACUUAUCGCAAAUGUUAAGUAUGUUCCUCAAGUGUGGUGUUAUAUACCACGAUAUCGUUCAAGUACACGACCACAAAAUGGUCGAGGAACAGUUGAAGCACCUUGUUCAUGAGUGUGCAAAAUGUUGCGAGUACAUUGGUGAGGUCGAAUGGCAUAGAAGGAAUUCGAAGGACCCGCACCUUGUUAUGCAUGCGGUAUUGGGUUCAUCUCCCUUGGCAUGUUAACUUGGUAGUACCCAGAGUACAAGUAGAGUUUGGUAAAGUGAUGCCUUUACCAAGCUGGUUGAAGAGAUCCGCUAUCAAGGGAAUUGGAUAUUUGUUCUUGAUAGUGAUCUUGUUGAGCAGCAGACAUAGCCCUUUCCUCCAAUCCAUCAAGGGUGUCUUGAACAGCGGACAUAGCCGUUUGGAGCGUAGCCAUGCGAGGCUCCAAGGCAUCAACAGAUGGGGCCUUGGAUUUGCCGCGAGACUUGCCAUGAGCGCAUCCCUCUUUGCGACCGUGGGUUGGGCUUCGGUGGAAUAUCCACACCAAUAAUGCCCUCUUGUGAUGUGUUAGGAGGGUUGGCCAUUGCUCGUGAGCUAACUUUACAUGGAUGAAACCUUAGCUCUGAUACCACUUGUCAUGAAAUGAGUGUUUUGCGCAACGAACCCGUGCGACACUUAGACAACUCUUGCCGAAAGUUGCUAAGUAAGCCUUUGAGCUUCUCGACUAGCUAAGCCUGGAGGUUUUCAAAAGAAUUAGAGAGAAGAGAGGAAUAGAGGUGAAAGAGAAAAAAUGUAUUACUCCCAAAGUGUUUACAAGAGAGCUUACAAGAGUAGUUGAGUUGCUUGCUCAUAGCUUAAUGCUCAGAUGCCAAAAGCUAUGUCCUAUUUAGAGGGAGGCUUGCCAAGCUCUAGCGUUUUAAAGAAUUCUACCAACUUGCCUAAAUAUCUAGAUAUUUACAUGUGCUGCUGUACCGUACAUCCGCCUUGGCCGUACAGCAGAAAUCGGCUCACUCAUUGAACUUGAAUACCUCGACUUUUCUGCUAAUAGGUUCAACAAUUCAGUCCCAGAAAGUCUCGGCAACUUGCAGAAAUUGCACUACUUGGGCUUAAGCAACAACCAGUUUGUCCUAGAAUUGCCAAAGGAAUUGGAGAAGCUAUUUAAACUUUCAGAAUUAGAUGCAAGUCAUAACCUUUUUGGAGGAGAGAUACCAUUUCAAAUAUGCAGUAUGGAAAGCUUGGAGAAGUUGAAUCUCUCCCACAAUAAUCUCUCUGGUUCGAUUCCAAAUUGCUUUGAGGGAAUGCACGGUCUAUCAGUCAUUGACAUUUCCGAUAAUCAAUUGCAAGGCCCAGUUCCAAAUAGCACAGCAUUUCGGAAUGCCCCAGUGGAAGCGUUAGAGGGAAAUACGGAAUUGUGUGGAAGUGUGAAAGGAAUGCACCCAUGCAAAGUUUUCUCGUCACACAAGCAAAAUUCUGGAGCCAAGUGGUUUGCAAUAGUGUUCCCUGUUUUAGGAGCACUAUUUGUUUCAAUGGGGUUGAUAGCAAUUUUCAUUCUUUUAUUUAUUUCUUUUUUGUCAAGUGAUAUAUAUACGUAUGCUUACUUAUUAGGAAAGUAUCUCAUCCACCUCUAUCAAAUCCUUGAUUCAAAGCAAUCAUCUCCAUCACAGCAUCAAUCAACUCUCUGUCAAGGCUAACAAAUCUGUUGUAUAUCUAAUUCCUUUAAUUUAGGAUCAUUUUAAUUAUUUCCUUUUACUUGCUUUGUAGAUGUGUAUAAAUCUGUACCAGUGAAUCAAUAAUAUUUAAGCCUUUAAUUACACAAUUACUUGCUGAUUCUUGUUAUUACUCUUUGUUCAAUAUCUUAUUUUGGAUAAGCUCUUGAUAGGGGAAGAGGUUGGGGAAGGCAAAGCAUGUCACGUGAUUUGCACGUGAGACAUUUGGAUUAUGUGGCUAAAUAAAAUACCGCGAUUAAUUAUCUGCUUCAUUAGUUAAGUAUCUGUUGAGUGUUGAAUGCAUGCAAGAUCUAAAGUUGAAUAUUGUUAAGUGAUGUUUCUCUAAAGUUUAUACAAAAAAUAUUAUUAAAAAAGUUCGUCUAGUCCACAAACGAGUGGUAUCAAAUAUACAACGCGCAGCCUUUAAUAUUGCAUGCUUUCGCUAUCUUUCAGGAAUAAUUCACUAUAUUCCAUGAGAAACUGACUGUGGGAUUGAAAGACGAGUUUCAAACCAAGUUUACUUCCGAAACAAGAAUUGAAUUCAUGAUUCUUGUAACAGUUAAAUUACAAAAUUUAUAAUCUUUUGUAGUUGAAUUUAAAAUGUAUUCUAUCCCUCAUCAAUUAAUGGUCAUCGUUGUUUUUAUAAUUUGUAAAUUACAAAUUUUCAGCAUGUGAAUUAUAAAUAUGAAAAUGUGAAAAGUAAAAAAUAAAUUAAUAAGUAGAUAUAAUAGAAAUAAAUUGACAACAAGAAGCUUUUGAGUAAAUUUUUAAAAUAUAGGAAGUAACUAAAUAAUUGACUUUAACGAUAGGGACUAAAAAAAUAUUUAUUGGUCACAGAUGAAAUGAGUAAUUGAAAAAACAUACAAGAUUUAGGUGAAAAAAUGAGAAAUAUUAGGAAUAUAUAUCAUUCUUCCUGAUUUUUAUUCGUCAAAUUUAGGUGUCUUUUUUGAAACAUUAGGGGAUUUUGUGUCCCUUAUUCAAACGUUAGGGGUCUCUGUGUCCUUUUCCCUUGAAAAAACAUACAAGAUUUAGGUGAAAAAAUGAGAAAUAUUAGGAAUAUAUAUCAUUCUUCCUGAUUUUUAUUCGUCAAAUUUAAGUGUGCCAAUUAAAUCCUGGGACGUCAAGCAAACUAGCCAUGAUAAUAAAUCUAUUCUGCAAUUAUUUUAGGCCUCUGUCUUUCAAUUAAGCAUAUAUGUACAGUUUUCUAACUCAUACUUGAUUUUCAGUAAUGGCAUAAUUUGUCCUUCCAAUUUUAGACAUGGACCACUACCAUUUUGUGAUGUGAAUUUGUUUUUGAAAAGGUGAUCUGAAUGUUAGCAUUGCGAAUUAGAGAAUUAUUCAACCCAUCACCACAGACUAAUAAUAUCGUUUUAAAUCUGGGCAGCGGCUAAAGUUACAGCCCGCGGCUAUUAUUCGUUGGAUUUGUCGGCUGAAAUCCAACGGAUAAAAUUAAUGGAAGCAUGAAAAAUCAGUGCUGCGAAACUUGAUAGAAGGAUUAAUUUUCAACACAUCCACACGAAUCUACAAUCAUCAUUUAUACCUUCAUGGUUUGUAAGUCAUCAUUCAGCACUCAUUUCGUUUUUUUAAAAAUAAAUAAAUAAAUAACUUCAACAAUUUGGAUAUUUGACCAAAUAAGUAACUGUAUUACUUUAUUAAUAAUUUUUUAAUAUAUAAAGACAAACAUAUUCUUGAGAAUUUUGUGUUUCACAUAUGACACAAAUGAUACUUAGAAAAGAGUAUUUUCAAUAAAUUUUUUUUAUAUAAAUACGAGAAUAUUUCUGAAAGUAAUUUAUAUAUAAAUGCAAAAAAAAAAAUCUCAGAUGACCUUUCUUAAUGAGAAAUUAAAAAAAAAAUGUCUAGAAUAUUUAGGAAAUUAUUUUGACCAGUUGAAUUUGUAAUCUCAUAUUUUGGUGUCUAACUUUACUCAAUUAAUAAAAUUUGUCCAAAAUGUUCAAAACUCUAAAACAAUUUUUUUUUUUUAAAGUCUAUUUCAAAAAAUAACUUGAUUACUACAAAAUAAAAUUUGUAAUAUCAAAUAAAGAAGAAAUUUAGACAAUUAACCAAUUAAAAUCCUCAUUAAUUUUUUUUGGUGACUUAGUAAGGUCUUUUGACCAUAUUUGACCACUAUGGCGUCUUUAACAUAAAUUUAUUUGAAUAUUUUAACUUCAAUAAUUUUUUAGUAAAAUGUUACAUAUUUGUGAAUGAUUUAUUGUUACUAUUUUAUUAAUACGAUCAUUAACUUUCAGUGAAACUAGCAAAAUGUAUUUGUGACAUGAUAUCUCAUGGAAUUUAUUGGCUAUCAAGUUUUAUGUUAUUUACACAUACGAGUAUUGAAAAAUUAUUGGGUUUCAAUUCAAAAUGUUAGAUUAUAUAGGUUACAAAACUAAAUACCUAAAUUAAUGCUAUGUUUGCUGCACAACUUCAUUUGCAAACUUCGUAUGGCAAAUUAACUACAUUUGGGAGCCUCUGUGAGCCACCAAUUCUACAGUAAUAUGGCAACUAAAACAUGUGAAUAAUUAAUUUCUUAGGUCAAUGGUGCUUGUCAUUAACAAAUUAAGUCGCCAGUAAGCACAUAGAUCAGUUGGCAUGAAGCUAUUCUAUCUCAACUAAGAUCUUCGAUUCGAGAUUUGAGAAUGCAGCUGUGUUAAAUACUUGUUGAAAGAAUUUUACCGCCCUAAAAGUCCAAACCGACUCAAAUCUGGAUUAAUCGGUGCCCAUUAUGAUCUUUAGAUACUAGAUAAUUUAAUAUACCGAAAAGAUAAAAUUAAGUUCAAGAGCGAUUUAUGAUGCUUCAUUGGCUCCAAAAGAUCGAAUCAACAAAAUGGCCUAGAACCACAAGCACGCGUAAUUUGCAGAACAUGCCUAGUUCAUUUCAAAAUUUUGUCAAGUUGGCAAUAAAUUAACGAGUGUUUCACAAAACAGUAUUCAAGUUUCACAUCGUGAAAAUAGGAAUUAAUUUGAUCCACUAGUCAACAACAUACAGAACGUUUAUUGCUCAAAUUGAAGAAACUUAAGAAGACAAACAGAUCGAAGAUUAAGAAAAAUCACUUCAAGAAAAAGGCUCGUAUAUGUGACGUUAUACUUUGUCCUCUCCCAUAGAUACAGUCAAAUUUUCUAUUUCUUGAUGCUAAAAAAUAAAAGAAAAUGUAGAUAUAUAUGACUGAAUCCAUCACUUUUAUUAGUCGAAUAAGCAAGAGAACAACAUUAACAAGGGGAAACAGAGGGAAACCACACUCUUAUUUGACUAAACUAAUCAAAAUUCUCCUGAUCUUUUAAAACACAUCCAAACUGAUAUUAGUAUACGUAUAUUUAUUUUACCUUUAAUUUUUCAAUUAAUUCUGAAAUUUUUCUAUUUUCUAGGAUGAGUUUUCAUGGACAUUAAUUGUGGUUACAAGAAGAGGCAAUUAAUACAAAGAUUGAUCUGACAAAACUGCAACAAGUGGACUUUCUUUGGGUAAUCUUUAUAGCUAAACAUCUUUGAAGACUUUUGGCACAGCGAGAAGGGAAAAUUCUUCUCUACUUUAGAGGUCUUGCUCAGCCAUUGACUUGUUAACUACUCGUUAAUUGCUUUUGUACUUGUGGGUUCCAUAAUUUUGACUCCAGAUAUGCUUGUAUGCUCAACUUCAUCAAUUUAUAAGGUUUGAAAACCUUUCCAAUUUCAAUCCACUUCGGUUUGUCUUUAAUUUUUUCACCAAAUUUCCACUAGGAUCCGAUUCGAAUUAAUUGAGUGGUUCUCACUGGAUCCAACUUAAAUCUGAUUCAAAUAAAUAAAUUUAUAUUUGAGGGAAGCUUGUGCUAAAUUUGUAUUUAAAUAUGUUUUCUGAUGGUUGGGGCAAGUGACUCAAGUGUGCUUGGUGGAUAAUUCAUAUGGUCUCACAAAAUACUUAGCAUAACUGGAGUAGCUCAAAUAAGCUCAUACCUAAAAUAUAAUCUCGACCUCAAAUUGAAAAUAUAGUAAAAUAAGCGUAAAUAUAAAGAGCACGCAAUGUUUACCUGAUUUGGUCUUCAAUUGAUGUCCAUAAGAGCAAGUCGUUGCUAAUCCACUAUAUAAAUGAAAGAUUACAUGAAAUUUUAAGAUGAAUAACACAAGCUAUAUAGCUAGAUAUCUAUAUAGAGAUUGGUGUUCAUAAAGAUAAAGAUGGUGACUAAAGAUAUGAAGAGUGAUGGUAUGGUAGAGAAGAUAAUGGGGUGGAGAAUGAAAAAUGGCCUCCUAAAAAUGGAGAAGUUUGUGAUGAAGGUUAAAUUAUCUAACGAAGAUAAUUUUUUGAAAGGAAUCAACUUACAGGACAUCUACCCCCGCAAAUUAGCUUACUUAUUAGUUGAACUUAUGUACCUCUACAUAAAGUCUACGCAAUUUUAGUAUACGAUGUUGUGCAAAAAUUAUGCAAUUCACGGCACGCUAAUCAUCAUCAUUUGCAUGAACAACACUUUUGUACUCACCAUGUGUAGUGGUGGUUCCCUACUUCCCACUUAUUUAGAGAUAUAAAUCAUAUGAUAUGGAUACCCCUGCCCCUGAUAUUUCCGGUCGAGCUUCAGAAAUUUCAAAGGAGAUAGCCCUUUAAGACCUUUUUUGCUUUUUGCUUUUUCUUCAAUUAUUUGAUUGUUUUUAUCAUUACCAGUUUGCCUGCCAACCCAUCUACCAAAAUCAAAUCACUCCCUUUCUUUUCCUCUUUUGAUAGCCAUAGCUAAUGUUGAGAAAGAAUGGUUAAGGAUUCUCUCGUUCCAACACCUGUAUCUUUGUGAAAUAUGCCUCCAAUAUCAAUUGUCUAAUGGUAAAUGAACUGUUUCUUAUCCAAGGUUUUUGUGAGUGUUAAAAUGAAAAUGGAUAAUAAUGAUGAUAACAUUACUCUUAAUUUCCUUUCCUUUUUCUAAUUAACAAAGAACACCCCCAUUGAAUGAUUACCAAGUGUAAAUAAGAGAACGGUUAAUUUGACACACACUCUCUCUCUCUCUCUCUCUAUAUAUAUAUAUAUAUAUGGAAGUUCAUAAUCUAAUAAAAUUAGACUUGUCAUAAGAUGCCAACUUUAUAAAUAAUGGACUAAACACUGCCCACUGCAUAAUUAAUGUAAAUCUAAGCAGGCAGUGGCGAAGCUAGCACUAUUUUUUGGGGUGGGCUAGAUUUUUUUAAAAUUCAAUUACUUCUCAAAAAAUUUAUUCUAUACAAAUGAAAUUAUUAAAAUAUGCUAGACAAGUAAAAAAUUAAUAAUAAAAUUAUAAAAAUACAAUGUAAAUAAAAAAAAUACUAUCGACGAAAUUUCGUUCUGCGUUUCUUCAAAAAAGAAAACUCAUAUAUUAUCGUAUCUGAAUUAUAUUGUCUGUGAUAAUAAUACAUUAGAGAAUUAUUCAUUAUUUUAUCAAAAAAAAUUGACAAAAGUAUAAGCCAAUAACUAAUUCAAAAAUAGUAUGAGCAUGUGGGUACGACAGAGGCUGGUUGUCACUCAUGAGGUGGCAACUUGAUGACUUGAACAUCUAAGUUUUAGGGAAUUUAGAAUUUAGAUAAUUUGAUCAAUUAGUCAGGGAUUUGAGUUAAUUUUUCGAUUUAAAAAAAAUAGAUAUUGACUAUAAUUAUUAGUUAUAUUUUUAUAUUUUACUAUAAGUUUUUUUUUAAUUUAUAAUUCAUUAAUAUUUUUUUUCAAGAAACUAACCCGGGCUGCAGCCCGGGUUAGCCUCCUCAGAGCUUCACCCCUGUAAACAGGUUUAGGUUUUUUUAAAUCAUAUUCUUGGGUGAGAUUCCAAAAGAACUUUCAAAAUUAAAUGAUCUAACGAAACUCAUUUUUUAGGGGGAAAUGAAUCAACUUACAGGACAUAUAUCUCCAGAAAUUAGAUUACUUAUUAGUUGAACUUACGUGUUAGAGUUAUAAAUAUAAAGAAUAUUUUUGUAAUGAUUCUGCUGAUGUGGCAGCUGAGUAAGCAAGGCUGUUAUUGUUAGUUUGUAAGUUUGUUAUAGAGCUGUGAAGUUAGUUAAUCACAGCUCACUCUUAACACGUGUGUGAGCAAAUGCAGAAAGUUCUGGAUCUUAGUAUAUAAGCUCAACUUCUGUACUCAUAAUUCAUUGAAUAAGAUUCGAUCUAUUUUUCUUAUAUUUUCUCUUAUUGCUCAUUAAAUUUUCCUUCACUUUCUCUGUAACCAAACAAGCAUAAAUAGCUUGGUUAAACUUCAAUUUUACGUACGUCUGCAAAUGGAUUUAACGUCAACGCACUGAAUCCCAAAAGGUCCACACAAUAAUUGGUUAGCUGCGAAUGAGAACUCGAAAAUGACAUACGUAAUUUUAUAAGCCACCAAUAAUAAUGGAGGCUCUUACGUUGAGUUUUAUUACAGUCUCUGAAUUCUAACUUUUUUUAUUUAAAUCCUGUACGCUGGUGGCGUAUGUAUUAUACAGUCUGAGUAUAUCUAUUGGGAGUCUGAUUCAUACAUAUGAAACUUUUCGUGACAGAAUAAAUUCAAAUUAGACUGGGACCAUACCGUUUUAUCCUGAGGCCACACUCUUAUAAGGUAAAAUCAAUCAUUUUUAUAUUAAGAAGUGGGUCAACGCUACAAUACCCGCAUGUAUCACAUACAUGCGGAUAAUAAAAAAAAAAAAAAAAAUAUGGCCAAAGUGGCAGCCAAACAAAAGAAAAACUUGGAGCAACCGGUUGCUCCUUAAAUUAAUAUUAAAUUAUAAAAUAAUAUAAUAAAUAAAUAUAAUAAAUAUAAUAAUAAUUAUUUUAAUAAUAAAGGCAACAUAAUAAUAAAAAAUUAGUAUUAAAAAUUAGUUUCAAAUCUAAUGGUAGUUGUUUCAUAUUUAUUGGUCCAUUAAUCGGGGUUGCAAGUUAAUGAACCUAAAUUUCAUGCUCAUUGCCUUCAGUUUCAAGUUCAUUGCCCUCAGUUUCAAGUUAAUUUGAUUUCAAAUUUAAUGGUCCGAGUUUCAAGUUAAUGGUAGGUGUUUCAUGUUUAUUGGUCCAUUAAUUGCAUCAUUUUCGGGGUUGCAAGUUAAUAAUCCCAAGUUUCAUGUUCACUGCUCUAAGUUUCAAGUUCCUUUGAUUUCUAGUUUAAUGGUCCCAGUUUCAAGUUAAUGGUAGGUGUUUCGUGUUUAUUGUUCCAUUAAUCGGGGGUUACAAGUUAAUGAUCUUAAGUUUCAUGCUCAUUGCCCCCAGUUUCAAAUUCAUUGCCCUCAGUUUCAAGUUCAUUUGGUUUCUAGUUUAUUGGUCCUAGUUUCAAGUUAAUGGUAGGUGUUUCAUGUUUAUUGGUUGCAAGUUAAUGAUCCUAAGUUUCAUAUUCAUUAUCCUCAGUUUCAAGUUCAUUACCCUCAGUUUUAAAUUUAUUUGGUUUCAAGUUUAAUGGUCUCAGUUUCAAGUUUAUGGUAGGUGUUUCAUGUUUAUUAGUCCAUUAAUUGGGGUUGCAAGUUAAUGAUCCUAAGUUUCAUGUUCAUUACCUUCAGUUUCAAGUUCAUUGCCCUCAGUUUCAAGUUAAUUUGAUUUCAAAUUUAAUGGUCCGAGUUUCAAGUUAAUGGUAGGUGUUUCAUGUUUAUUGGUUGCAAGUUAAUGAUCCUAAGUUUCAUAUUCAUUAUCCUCAGUUUCAAGUUCAUUACCCUCAGUUUUAAAUUUAUUUGGUUUCAAGUUUAAUGGUCUCAGUUUCAAGUUUAUGGUAGGUGUUUCAUGUUUAUUAGUCCAUUAAUUGGGGUUGCAAGUUAAUGAUCCUAAGUUUCAUGUUCAUUACCUUCAGUUUCAAGUUCAUUGCCCUCAGUUUCAAGUUAAUUUGGUUUCAAAUUUAAUGGUCUUAGUUUCAAGUUAAUGAUAGGUGUUUCAUGUUUAUUGGUCCAUUAAUCGAGGUUGCAAGUUAAUGAUCCUAAGUUUUAUGUUCAUUGCACUCAGUUUCAUGUUCAUUGCCCUCAGUUUCAAAUUCAUUUGGUUUCAAGUUUAAUGAUCUCAGUUUCAAAUUAAUGGUAAGCGUUUCAUGUUUAUUGGUCCAUUAAUUGCAUGAUUUUCGGGGUUGCAAAUUAAUGAUCCCAAGUUCCAUGUUCAUUGCCCUCAAUUGCAAGUUCAUUUAGUUUUAAGUUUAAUGGUCCCAGUUUCAAGUUAAUGGUAGGUGUUUCAUGUUUAUUGGUUGCAAGUUAAUGAUCCUAAGUUUCAUAUUCAUUAUCCUCAGUUUCAAGUUCAUUACCCUCAGUUUUAAAUUUAUUUGGUUUCAAGUUUAAUGGUCUCAGUUUCAAGUUUAUGGUAGGUGUUUCAUGUUUAUUAGUCCAUUAAUUGGGGUUGCAAGUUAAUGAUCCUAAGUUUCAUGUUCAUUACCUUCAGUUUCAAGUUCAUUGCCCUCAGUUUCAAGUUAAUUUGGUUUCAAAUUUAAUGGUCUUAGUUUCAAGUUAAUGAUAGGUGUUUCAUGUUUAUUGGUCCAUUAAUCGAGGUUGCAAGUUAAUGAUCCUAAGUUUUAUGUUCAUUGCACUCAGUUUCAUGUUCAUUGCCCUCAGUUUCAAAUUCAUUUGGUUUCAAGUUUAAUGAUCUCAGUUUCAAAUUAAUGGUAAGCGUUUCAUGUUUAUUGGUCCAUUAAUUGCAUGAUUUUCGGGGUUGCAAAUUAAUGAUCCCAAGUUCCAUGUUCAUUGCCCUCAAUUGCAAGUUCAUUUAGUUUUAAGUUUAAUGGUCCCAGUUUCAAGUUAAUGGUAGGUGUUUCAUGUUUAUUGGUUGCAAGUUAAUGAUCCUAAGUUUCAUAUUCAUUAUCCUCAGUUUCAAGUUCAUUACCCUCAGUUUUAAAUUUAUUUGGUUUCAAGUUUAAUGGUCUCAGUUUCAAGUUUAUGGUAGGUGUUUCAUGUUUAUUAGUCCAUUAAUUGGGGUUGCAAGUUAAUGAUCCUAAGUUUCAUGUUCAUUACCUUCAGUUUCAAGUUCAUUGCCCUCAGUUUCAAGUUAAUUUGGUUUCAAAUUUAAUGGUCUUAGUUUCAAGUUAAUGAUAGGUGUUUCAUGUUUAUUGGUCCAUUAAUCGAGGUUGCAAGUUAAUGAUCCUAAGUUUUAUGUUCAUUGCACUCAGUUUCAUGUUCAUUGCCCUCAGUUUCAAAUUCAUUUGGUUUCAAGUUUAAUGAUCUCAGUUUCAAAUUAAUGGUAAGCGUUUCAUGUUUAUUGGUCCAUUAAUUGCAUGAUUUUCGGGGUUGCAAAUUAAUGAUCCCAAGUUCCAUGUUCAUUGCCCUCAAUUGCAAGUUCAUUUAGUUUUAAGUUUAAUGGUCCCAGUUUCAAGUUAAUGGUAGGUGUUUCAUGUUUAUUGGUUGCAAGUUAAUGAUCCUAAGUUUCAUAUUCAUUAUCCUCAGUUUCAAGUUCAUUACCCUCAGUUUUAAAUUUAUUUGGUUUCAAGUUUAAUGGUCUCAGUUUCAAGUUUAUGGUAGGUGUUUCAUGUUUAUUAGUCCAUUAAUUGGGGUUGCAAGUUAAUGAUCCUAAGUUUCAUGUUCAUUACCUUCAGUUUCAAGUUCAUUGCCCUCAGUUUCAAGUUAAUUUGGUUUCAAAUUUAAUGGUCUUAGUUUCAAGUUAAUGAUAGGUGUUUCAUGUUUAUUGGUCCAUUAAUCGAGGUUGCAAGUUAAUGAUCCUAAGUUUUAUGUUCAUUGCACUCAGUUUCAUGUUCAUUGCCCUCAGUUUCAAAUUCAUUUGGUUUCAAGUUUAAUGAUCUCAGUUUCAAAUUAAUGGUAAGCGUUUCAUGUUUAUUGGUCCAUUAAUUGCAUGAUUUUCGGGGUUGCAAAUUAAUGAUCCCAAGUUCCAUGUUCAUUGCCCUCAAUUGCAAGUUCAUUUAGUUUUAAGUUUAAUGGUCCCAGUUUCAAGUUAAUGGUAGGUGUUUCAUGUUUAUUGGUUGCAAGUUAAUGAUCCUAAGUUUCAUAUUCAUUAUCCUCAGUUUCAAGUUCAUUACCCUCAGUUUUAAAUUUAUUUGGUUUCAAGUUUAAUGGUCUCAGUUUCAAGUUUAUGGUAGGUGUUUCAUGUUUAUUAGUCCAUUAAUUGGGGUUGCAAGUUAAUGAUCCUAAGUUUCAUGUUCAUUACCUUCAGUUUCAAGUUCAUUGCCCUCAGUUUCAAGUUAAUUUGGUUUCAAAUUUAAUGGUCUUAGUUUCAAGUUAAUGAUAGGUGUUUCAUGUUUAUUGGUCCAUUAAUCGAGGUUGCAAGUUAAUGAUCCUAAGUUUUAUGUUCAUUGCACUCAGUUUCAUGUUCAUUGCCCUCAGUUUCAAAUUCAUUUGGUUUCAAGUUUAAUGAUCUCAGUUUCAAAUUAAUGGUAAGCGUUUCAUGUUUAUUGGUCCAUUAAUUGCAUGAUUUUCGGGGUUGCAAAUUAAUGAUCCCAAGUUCCAUGUUCAUUGCCCUCAAUUGCAAGUUCAUUUAGUUUUAAGUUUAAUGGUCCCAGUUUCAAGUUAAUGGUAGGUGUUUCAUGUUUAUUGGUUGCAAGUUAAUGAUCCUAAGUUUCAUAUUCAUUAUCCUCAGUUUCAAGUUCAUUACCCUCAGUUUUAAAUUUAUUUGGUUUCAAGUUUAAUGGUCUCAGUUUCAAGUUUAUGGUAGGUGUUUCAUGUUUAUUAGUCCAUUAAUUGGGGUUGCAAGUUAAUGAUCCUAAGUUUCAUGUUCAUUACCUUCAGUUUCAAGUUCAUUGCCCUCAGUUUCAAGUUAAUUUGGUUUCAAAUUUAAUGGUCUUAGUUUCAAGUUAAUGAUAGGUGUUUCAUGUUUAUUGGUCCAUUAAUCGAGGUUGCAAGUUAAUGAUCCUAAGUUUUAUGUUCAUUGCACUCAGUUUCAUGUUCAUUGCCCUCAGUUUCAAAUUCAUUUGGUUUCAAGUUUAAUGAUCUCAGUUUCAAAUUAAUGGUAAGCGUUUCAUGUUUAUUGGUCCAUUAAUUGCAUGAUUUUCGGGGUUGCAAAUUAAUGAUCCCAAGUUCCAUGUUCAUUGCCCUCAAUUGCAAGUUCAUUUAGUUUUAAGUUUAAUGGUCCCAGUUUCAAGUUAAUGGUAGGUGUUUCAUGUUUAUUGGUUGCAAGUUAAUGAUCCUAAGUUUCAUAUUCAUUAUCCUCAGUUUCAAGUUCAUUACCCUCAGUUUUAAAUUUAUUUGGUUUCAAGUUUAAUGGUCUCAGUUUCAAGUUUAUGGUAGGUGUUUCAUGUUUAUUAGUCCAUUAAUUGGGGUUGCAAGUUAAUGAUCCUAAGUUUCAUGUUCAUUACCUUCAGUUUCAAGUUCAUUGCCCUCAGUUUCAAGUUAAUUUGGUUUCAAAUUUAAUGGUCUUAGUUUCAAGUUAAUGAUAGGUGUUUCAUGUUUAUUGGUCCAUUAAUCGAGGUUGCAAGUUAAUGAUCCUAAGUUUUAUGUUCGGUAGCUUGGCUGCGAUCUUGAGCAGUGAUGCAGCAGCACAAGAACUGGGUUGGAGUCACAGAAUGAAUGUGAUCAAAGGCGUAGCCGAUGCCUUGUCUUACUUGCACCAUGACUGCUUUC
rnacentral:lncRNA from 1 species